rnacentral:rRNA from 1 species
AUUGAACGCUAGCGGGAUGCUUUACACAUGCAAGUCGAACGAGUGGCGUACGGGUUAGGAAUAUAUCGGAACGUGCCCAGUAGAGGGGGAUAACUACUCGAAAGAGUGGCUAAUACCGCCUACUAUUGGAGCGGCGGAUAUCGGAGUAGCUAGUUGGUGGGGUAAAGGCUCACCAAGGCAACGAAACGUAGCUGGUUUGAGAGGACGACCAGUCACACUGGGACUGAGAAACGGCCCAGACUCCUACGGGAGGCAGCAGUGGGUAAUUGUGGACAAUGGGGGAAACCCUGAUCCAGCCAUCCCGCGUGUAUGAGAAGGCCUUCGGGUUGUAAAGUACUUUUGGCAGAGAAGCGGUAUCUGCAGAAUAAGCACCGGCUAACUACGUGCCAGCAGCCGCGGUAAUAC